AUGAGGCAAUUCUUGGUAUUUUGCCCACCCCUAUCCUACUCUGCCUUCCCCGACACAUGCUCUCCCUCCCCCGUGCCUCCUUUGCCUCAUUUGUGCCUCAAGGACAAUGUUGAGAUCAGCCAACCCUUUUUGAUUCGUGGUUCUGUUGUGUGCUUUCUUUUGACACUCAACUAUUAUGACCUCCUCCUCGACUGCUGCCAUGGCCUCACCCUCGUCCUCAAUCAGCAACACUACAACAUGUUGGAUAGUUGUUUGGGAUCAUGUAACCAUGAGACCACCACUUUGUUAAUUGCACCAUAUUACAAAGUAUGGUCGGUGUCUUGUUACUUGUUGCGAACAAUACAUUGCACCAUGGUUAUCAAACAAAGGCAAAACAUAUCUUUUAGAGGCCCACAAUGCUCAAGUUUGCUUGAAAUAUAA
rnacentral:rRNA from 1 species